rnacentral:rRNA from 1 species
ACACCCGUUCCCAUGCCGAACACGGAAGUUAAGCUCUUCAGCGCCGAUGGUAGUUGGGGGCUUCCCUGCGAGAGUAGGACAUCGCCAGCC